rnacentral:rRNA from 1 species
GCUGUUAUCCCUAAAGUAACUUAUUCUAUUAAUCAUUAUUAAUGGAUCAUUAAUUCAUAAAUUAAUGUUUAAUAAUUUUUAAAAGUUUAAUAAAUUUUAAUAUCACCCCAAUAAAAUAAAUAUUUUAUUAUAAAAUAUUAUAAAUCAAAAUAUUAAUAAUAAAAUUAUUAUAAAGAUUUAUAGGGUCUUCUCGUCUUUUAAUAAUAUUUAAGCUUUUUGACUAAAAUAUAAAAUUCAAAUAUAAUAUUUAGAUGAAACAGUUAAUAUUUCGUCCAACCAUUCAUUCCAGCUUUCAAUUAAAAAACUAUUGAUUAUGCUACCUUUGCACAGUUAAUAUACUGCGGCCAUUUAAAUUAUCAGUGGGCAGGUCAGACUUUAAAAUAAACUCAAAAAGACAUGUUUUU